rnacentral:tRNA from 1 species
GGUCGCGUGGCCGAGUGGUUAGGCAGAGGUCUGCAAAACCUUGCACAGCGGUUCGAAUCCGCUCGCGACCUCAA